UACGUAGGGCGCAAGCGUUGUCCGGAAUUAUUGGGCGUAAAGAGCUCGUAGGUGGUUUGUCGCGUUGUCCGUGAAAACUCACAACUCAAUUGUGGGCGUGCGGGCGAUACGGGCAGACUGGAGUACUGCAGGGGAGGAUUGGAAUUCCUGGUGUAGCGGUGGAAUGCGCAGAUAUCAGGAGGAACACCGAUGGCGAAGGCAGAUCUCUGGGCCGUAACUGACGCUGAGGAGCGAAAGCGUGGGGAGCGAACAGG
rnacentral:rRNA from 1 species